UACGUAGGGUGCAAGCGUUGUCCGGAAUUAUUGGGCGUAAAGAGCUCGUAGGCGGUUUGUCGCGUCUGCUGUGAAAACUCGGGGCUUAACCCUGGGCCUGCAGUGGGUACGGGCAGACUAGAGUGCGGUAGGGGAGACUGGAAUUCCUGGUGUAGCGGUGAAAUGCGCAGAUAUCGGGAGGAACACCGGUGGCGAAGGCGGUUCUCUGGGCCUUACCUGACGCUGAGGAGCGAAAGCGUGGGGAGCGAACAGG
rnacentral:rRNA from 1 species